UCGGAUAUGGUGUAAAGGUAACAUAUCCGCCUCUCAUCGCAGGGCGCGCGGUUGCUCGGGGUUCGAUUCCCCGUAUCCGAA
rfam:Suillus luteus TH-Slu-Lm8-n1 unplaced genomic scaffold CY34scaffold_1, whole genome shotgun sequence.